UUGUUUUUUAAUCUCUUCAUUUUUGUGUAUAUAACCAUUCUCUGGGUUUUAUAUUCCAAAACUGUUGGUUUUAAGAUUUUAUUUCUAUGCUCUUCAGAACAGUUCAGUAAACAAGACAGUUGCCACCCCACAGGCUUACAGUUGAAAUGACUCAACACAAAAGGAAGACACGUGGAGGGAAGAGGGGUAAAGCAGACUUAGCCACCAGUUAUUAAAUUUACAAAAUUAUUCUAAGAGCCAGUUUGAACACAAAUAAUUCAGAGAGAGAAUAAACAAAAUGCAGUUGGUCUUUGUCCUGUUUCCUCCCUCCCUGUGCUGCAGCUAGAUGGAAUGACGUUUCCAGAUUAUGCCUCAUCCCUGGCUAGUUCUCCUUUCCCAUUAAAAUCUGUCCAAGCUGCACUUUUAUUUAUUUGUUUCAAAUAAAAGGUAGAAAUAUAUGAUAGCCAACUGAAAUGAAUGUCUUUACAGUUAUGCUUCACAAAUGGACUCAAGGAAAAAACAGGCCAUUUCCCCAAGAUGUUAGAGGUUGAUUACAGCCCUUCCCCUGAGAUGAACUAACGAAAUGUGAUAUCAUUUUUUUCUAACCAUUUUUUAUUCAUAUAGUGUAUGAGAUUUCCAAUGCCUAGCUUAGAAAAACAAGAGAUUAGUGCAGCAAAUAGAAUACUGGUUUGGACAAUAUAUUAAAUAGCCUAUACAGUUAAUUGCAUGGGGUUAGAGUUUUAUCCUUUCCGCAACCAUCUCCAGAUUUCAUCUGGGAAUUGACAAUGCAUUUUUGGCCUAUGGUCUAGUAGGGGACUUCUGUUGCACUUCUCAACAUCUUCCAGCGUGAUUGUUGGAAUUUUACAUCUGUGAAGGCUAAGGCUACAGGUUUUGCAUCGAUUACCUCUCCUGCCCUGGUGUGCUUGGCUCUCUUGAUAGGUUGUAAACACCAUAAACAUGAUAAAUUUGAAUCCUAGGUUGUUAACAUCCCCUUAAAAUACUAGUGUUUUGUAUGAUUAUUUUGCAAAAGCAUAAUUCAAACUAUAGUUUGACCUGUCACAACACAAUACUGACUUGGCGAGGUGGUAAUGGAUAGUAAUUCGUCAAUGGUGUGUCUCUGGGUACUCCCGUCAAAGUUUUUUAUCCCCCUUCUUUUCACUGCUUUUUUGUUGUUGGUACAUUAGAACAUAGGCAUCCUUUGCUAUUGUUGAGCAAGUAAAAUAAAUGAGAAAUAUUCUAAAAAUCAGAGGAAAGUAGGAAAUGGCUCUCCUGCUUUGCUAACUCUUAAAAGCCUUCACAGAAUGUGAGACAAAUUGUUCUUGUGCUCUUUUAUAAUCAUCUGAUUAUUUGUAACUCUUCCGAGUUAGAAAACCAGCACCACAGGCAUAAGUAGCAGGCUCUGUGCUACUUUCUUUAAAAAAAAAAAUCAAAGAGCAAGGGCAGUAAAACUAAAUUUCUGAUUUCUGACAUUCGUCUUUUCACAUUUUUCCAAUUGGCAAGACUUGAAGGAGGUCAGAAAAGGGAGAAAUGAUGAGGUCAUUUUGAGAUAUUACUGAAUCCUCUGUGAGUUCUCAUUGUGCUUUGGUUCCUUUCCAGCAUUGCGAGUUUGUACUUGUAACUUGGAAAAUCUUUGGCCUCGUUCUCACAAACUAACGAUAAAGAGGUAAACCUGUGAUCCUAGACUAUACUGCGUUAGCGGCCAGAUGAGGACUAACAGGACUGAAUGUUUAUUCAAACAAAAUAAUUCCCUGCAUGAUAGACUGAAUAAAAUUAACUGUUUAGUUUACAAAUGUACACCUACUUGUAUCUACAUUGUGAUGUUGCUGUAUCAUGUAAUGUUCUUAUUAGAAACUAUACCAAAAAGAAAUCCCCCGCAAAUAGAAACCUAACCUAAGAGAGAGAAGGCUAAGCUAGAACCCCUAGUCAAUGUGAAAAUGAGUCAUCCAUUAUUAUAUUUCCUCCUUCGGCUUCCCCCAUGUUUUCUUUUAUAUAGAUGAAAUUGCCCUCAGAACUUGGCUUGGGGCAGAGGGAUAGUCUUAUUAAACUAUUUUCACCACCAGCAAUUCUGGGAUUUACUAAGACCCUCUUCUCAACUGACUUGACUGGAAUCAUUUGGUAGGCUAUAAAUCUUCUGCUGCAGUAGCUAAGAUCCAAAGAUCUGUUUGGGAUUAUGCAAAAUCUCUUCCCCCCCCCUUUAAAUAUUUGUCCCACAUGUGCUUUUUGAAAUUGUCUUUAGUUUAGUCAGGAGGGGAUCACUCCUAUUCAGGAAUAUCAAUUCUAACAUUGCCUGCCUCACUUCAUGUUCACAGUACUAGUUUUACAGUACUGUACUUCAGAUUGUGGCCAUUGAUUGGAACUUCCCACAGCCAUCAUGAACACCAGUGGUCAGCUAGCCACCUGCUCCAUACUAUACAGCUGUGAGGAAAGAAACAUAUGGGCACAGUGCCAUGUAUAUACUGUGUGCUGUUUAGUGUGCCAGCCUGCUUCCAUACGGAUCUGUUUCCUCUCCCACACAGACAUCUGGUAUCUCUGCACCCUUACUCCAUAUGUCACAAGACUGGGUAGAUUGGUUGAGAAGCAGGCAUAUGCAGUGCUGUGUCUCAGCCAUGAGAUUUGGGCCUCAUGAUCAGCUGGGUCAAAAACAUGUAUGAACACUCUGGGCCUUAUGACUGUCUAAAGGGGAAGUGGUGCUGGUAGAUAUGGGGAAGUUUUUACACAAAGUAUUCUCUACAAAUUAGUGAUACCAAUGUUGUUUGUACCUAAUGAGAUUUUUUUUUAAAAAAAAAUAUUCUGGCUACUGUUAAAUACAGAUUUUUUCCCCCCUCUCUUUUCUUUUAUGUAGUGCAACUCGUUCUUCUUUUUAUCUUGCCACAGAUAACAACGCCUUGCAAUUAACAUGUUGGAAAGCUUAACACUCGAUGAUGCAAGAGAACUAGUCAAAAACUAAAGCUGCUUAUUGGACCUUAAAUAGCACGUUAUACAAACAUAGUAGAUUCCUAUUUGCUGCUAGGCAUGAUUCAUGGUCCACAUUCAUGCCAGUGUGGAGAUUAUGUUGCUGCACUUUGCAGUCUGAUAUUUAAACUAUGAGAAUUCAUAAAAUCCUCUUCAUUCUAAAGCCAGCUGUGUCUGUUGAGUGGAAAAAGUAUUUGGGCUUCAUCACAGCAAGCUCCUGCUGCAAAUACCUUGCGAUGACAUGCAAAGCAUUAUGAAUCAUACUAACUAAGCAAAGCCAAGGAGUUAAAAGCUGUACAGUACAAGGUACUGACCUCUUCCACCAUCCCAUUUGCUGCCAUGCAAACCAAUUUUUCUGGCAGCGGGUCCUGGCACCAGAUCAUUCUCUGGAGGACCACUGACUGGAAUUUGUUUUCCUAAGCGGUAUUCAAGGCUCCCAGACUGCUCUCUUUUCAAUUCUCUCUUUGGUUUGGUGGGUAUAACUUGAGUGUGUAGUCUGACUAGCUGAGCAGAUAUCUGUUGGCUUUGGGGUUUCUGAAAAGCAUGUCAAAGCGCUCAGUAGAAACUGGGGGUAUGGCUGAAAAGGUUACUCCUGAAUGAAGUGUCUUUUCGUAUAGAUCUUGGAACAAAUGGUGUUUAUAGCAUAAUUAUAGGGGCAUAUAUUCUGGUUUGAUAUUUUUAGUACAGAACCCGAAGCACAAAAAUUGUCAGAAAAAAGCCAGUCCCAUAUUAGGCAGGAUUUUGUUUUCCCCUGUGCUUCUUGGACUCAGGCUGAAUGCUAAAUAAAAGAGAGCAGAGUUCUGAUGUGGAUACAGCAACAGUCAAACUUAAACUGAGCCCUAUGAAGGAACAGCAGCUCUGUCCCAAUUGUAAAGUCCACCUUCAUUGAAAGGUGUGACAUCCUCAGGCUGGAGUGAGAACCAAUUAUUCACUGAAUCAUCUGAGAAGGAUUAAUAGUAGAUGGAACAGGCUUGCACAUGGUUAUUUAGGGGGCAGCCUCUCGCAGCAUUAAACUAUAUUUUAAAAUACAAUAUGGUUUAAUGAACACAAGUGCUUUGUGCCUUCCUUGCUCUUGACCAGGCAUCCCCAAACUGCGGCCCUCCAGAUGUUUUGGCCUACAACUCCCAUGAUCCCUAGCUAAGAGGACCAGUGGUCAGGGAUGGUGGGAAUUGUAGUCCAAAACAUCUGGAGGCCAAAGUCUGGGGAUGCCUGCUCUUGACUGUGCCGUGCAGGGAGGGAAGGAAGACUGGAGGGGUGUCAUGUGGAGGUGUGUGUGCCAGAGGGCCUUGGGUGCACAAAUUUCUGAGGGGGCAUGAACCUUCCACCCACCAAGGUCUCGUCCGGCCACUCAGGUUCCCCAAGGCAUGGGUGGGCAGGCAGUUAAGCACGGCCCUGCUUUCCUCUGGUUGGGGUAGAGUUGCUCUGGUAGCAUCAGUGGCAAGGGCUGGGCAGGCGUCCCCCCCGUCUGGUGUAUGUACCCCUCGUCUGUUUCACACAAGCCGCUGGACCGGAACAAGCCGCAGUCUGGUUUGGCAUUCAAGUUGCAUUAAAUGUGAACCCAGGCCUUGGCAGGUUCAUGAUUUGUUUCCUCCAAAUAAACCAAUGAGAAAUUGUGGCUUCUUGUGGUUUGUUUGGAGAGAAACAAGCCAUGAGUCCGGUUUCACACAGAACAGGCAAGACAGACUCUGGCUUGCUCCCGGUGUGUUUCCUCUCCCAUGCAGCACAGUCAGGAGUAAGGAUGGAGCAAAUGCUUAUUAAAUCAUAAUUUAUUUCAAACUAUUGUUUAACCUUAUGUGUGAACCAGCUCACUGCCUGCCUUGCUUUACUGUGGAGGUGGUGAGGGUGUAGCUCCUCCCAACCUCAGCAGCGUAUGAAGUCUAGAAGAGGGUGUGUGUUGAGCUUGCAGUUGCUGUGGCAGGAUAUUCAUAUACUGUCUCUCUGGUGAGAGAGGAAUAUGCGGAGUUUACCAGUCAAGGGCUCACCAUAGUUAUUCACCUCUUUGCCCUGGCUUUUUGACACUUAUUUUUAGGACCCGUCUUAUUUUUGUGAUUGUAAGUUGUUUAAAACCGUUUAAAAAAUUGUGUUUUAACGUUGUAACCCAUCCGUCCUGGGACCUUAGGGUGAAGGACAGGCAACAAAUUACCACCAACAACAACAAUGCAGGAGAAUAGGAAAUUGCCCAAUAUUUACCCUUAAUCCAGCUGUGCAUUGCAAUUUGAGACGUGUAAAUAAAUGGCUUGUGGAAACUGUAAAAACUACAGGCCAGCAAUAAAAGGUUGGAUAGGUAUCUGUUCGGAAUCUUUUAAGUAGGGCAGUGUCUGUUCCAGUUCUCUAUUUCCAUUUUUGUGGACCAUUCUAGCAUCUUCAGAAUGAUGUUAAAUGCCAAAAGUGUGACAAAGAAAGCUGGAGAUAAGGCAGGAAAUAACACUCACAGACUCAUUAACCACUUUAUAGGCAAAGUAUUAGACCUGGUGCCUGGUCAUUGCUACAUGAAGUGAUUAUCUAUCCCACAGAGCAUUUGGCUGAUUUAUUUCUUGUUCAUACAGGCACUAGUGCUGGAGCAGGUGGGGGAGGGAGAGAGAAGAGAGCUCAUUGCAAGGAUAUUAAUAGCCCUUAGAUCAGUUGUUUUUCUUUUAAGCACAUCUGGGUUAUUCCGUACAUUAAGGCUUCCCCUUUCUGAGUCACUACACUCAGCCAAACGAUUGCACUUUCUCUUUGCAAAGUUACUCAUUCUCCAGGCUUCUUGUAUCAAUCAGACUGUAUCCGUAGUUUUCACCAAAUAAGGUUUUAGAAGAUUAUAAAUUAAGCAAAGGGGGGGGGACAUAGAUAAGGUCACUUUAAAUGAUACAGGUUCAUGAACAUAAUAUGCAAAUUGUUUCUAGCAGGAGAACAAACCUUUAUUCGGAAUAUUUUUAUUGACAUGAUAGUAGGCAUUUAUUAACAAUAUUUCUAUCCCACCUUUCUGCCCGAGAGUUGGCCUCCUGAGCAACUUACAUUACAUAUAAGAUUUUUGUUUAAAUAAAAAGGCAGAAGUGACUGUGCUCCAUCUGCUGCUCUUUAAAAGUUCUGUAGUAACUAGAUGGGGAAAUACUGUGGUGUUUGUCCCCAUUGGAAGUGAACUACCCAGCAACCAGGGCCAGGUAGCACCAGAUAUUUUUGACCCUGGGGGUGGGUUACCUCCUUUUGGGACAGCUGCAUAGUCUGAGGCUACUAGCUCUUUCUGGCAGUAAGGGUGCUUCAAGCAACUGGUAGACUAUAAUGUUAACUGUUUGCUCCCAAGGUCUAUACAGUACCUCAGAAUUGUGACUUUCUGUUUACUGUAAUUGAAUUUGGUUCCUUUUCUGCCUCCUUCUGCAAAGCUGAACAAACACAAACCCCUGUGUUGCAAAAUGUGACCAUCUACAAAAAUGCAAACGCAACACGCUGCCUAAUAACUGUUAGUAAAUAUAUAAUCACGAAGAGUCGGACACGACUAAACGACUAAACAACAACAAAAUAUAUAAUCAGUAUGAUGUCAUUCAAAAUAUACGAAUGUAUACAUACUAGUGAAGAUCAUACUAGUGGAUCAGUGCUCACUGGAUAAUUAUGUAUAUUUCAUUGAUAAUUAUUCACUGAUGAAGACUUUAUUCCGAAACAGUUUAACUAUCCUGGAUGCACUGUCCUUUUGAGACUUUGGAGAGAUGUCUUCCUUUGAGAGACGGUUUGGCGUUCCUUGCUAUUAAUUAGUUGUUUGAUUUUUUGUUUGACUCUGAUACAUAUAACAACUUGCAGUUACUUGUAUAUUUUGUGAGAUGUGUUGUAUGAUACAUAUAUUGUUUUAAAGUGGCUUAUUCCUAUAUUUUGAAUGACAUCAUACCGAUUAUAUAUUUACUAACAGUUAUUAGCCAGCGUGUUGCAUUUGCAUCCUUCUGCAAAGCUAGCAGAUAGGUACUUUCAAUAAAAGAGGCAGCUUUGAAUGGUUCUUAUCAUGCCUUGCUUUGUCCUAAUAUCCAACAUUAUCAUGCCUGCCUUGGGUUUUUGGAGUGAUGUAUGCAUGUUGCUCUUUACCCAUGCAACUGGAGCACGCACCUUUACUAACUCACAGUCUAGUCCAGGCUUUUGUAGUUAGUCAUUUACCUGAUCUACUUUGUUGAAUAAAAAAUGGACUCAUAUGGAAAGAAAUAAGAAAGGUAGCAUAACAAUGAGGGUAGAGAGUAGUUGAGACAAGGGAAAGGAUGGUAAAGAAUCAUGUCGAGUUGGAACUACAGUAAUUAGACGUUACAGAGGAAAUCAUUGGUUCCCAACUCUAGAUUUGCCCCUGCAGUUAAUGUGAGGGUUGGAUAUGGCAUUUGCAGAACAGAAAAUUGGUGAAUGGAAGGGAGUAUUUAACUCUUCCCCACUCACAAUAUUUAAAAGUUUGGUUCCCCCCCAGCUAAGCUCCAAAAUUGGAAGUUAAUUCAGCUAGCAAAAUGGCAACUGAAGUGGGGUGGGUGGGGUUUGCAGGCAUUGGCAUAGGAGGGAUAAAGCAUUUGCUCCUCCCACCUGCCAAUCAUCUCUACAUUUUAAAUGGUCUCCUCCAAUUUGGGAGGUGGUUGAAGCCAUGCACUUGCCCAAAUGACAUCUGGUUCCAGCUUCAGCAAGUAGAAAGGCAGUGUGCAUGAUUGUCCCUGGAACUUCAGUUGCCCACUGGAUUCAGCUGGCCUCCUCAAGAUGUAGUGUACGCAAACGGUGCUUAACCCUGAAUUUAACUCUCAAGAGUAUUCGAAUGAUGCUGGCAUUGAUCUGCUGCUUUCUCUCUGACAUUAUAAAGGAGGCAGUACUCCACAGAGCUACUGGUGUUCUGUUUACUUCAAUGUUGUUUCAGUUCAUGGGCAUUCAGCAGCAGUGCUGCUAGCGCUAGCGCUUUCACAUGGUAGCAAAUCACUAGGGGACUUGGGCAGAGAGACCAUCACUCCUUAUUUGAGGUGGAACGUCUGCUGAGUUUCACUUGCAACAGAAUAGCUCGUAAGUUUCUAUUCACAAAUAUGGCAGAAGGAUGCAUGGCACUGUCAAUUACUGUAUAUAGGAAAUAAAAUAUCAUCUAAGAGUGAGCCUGAGCUAUGUCUCCAGCUACCAGUUCCUUGUUUGCCUGACUCAAAAUCUUUGGGUGAUCUAUGCUAUAGGAAUUCCUAAUUUUGUAUAGGAUAUUUUCUUUCUAGGCUGUAUCUGACUUGAUACUGUAUCUGACUUGAUACUGUUGAUUUGUAGGGCAUUUGUUGUCUGUAUAAUAUCAGGUACUUAUUGAAAUACCAGCAAUGAAAGGUAAACUCUUGACCAAAAACAACUCCCUUUUAGUCCAAGGACACCUAGUGUGCAGAUUUUAUAACUGCAGGCAUAUUGUUAAACACAUUCCACAGGCAAACUCAACCAUGAUUGCCAGUUCUUGUAAUUUUAGUAGCUUUCAACCCUUUCAACCCUUUUUAAAGAAGUUUUACAUCCUUCAUGAUUGUGAAGGACAACAGUAUUCCAUACAUGCUUAAAAGCAAAACUUCAGGCUAAAAGACUGGUUUUAGAAAUCAUGAACAAUCAUGGUUUGUGUGUUCAGCCUAAAGAUUUUGAUUUUGUUUGAACAUUGAGAUUUGAAAACAAUUGGCAGGAACUCCUGAACUAUACUUAUUGAAGUUCAGUUUGUGUAGAAUAGUUCACCCCUCUGCAGUUCAGGGCGCCCUUUAAAACAUAUAGAGCCUUAGCAGCCCUAGAGCUGGGGUGAGAAACGUUUCCGCCCCCCGCCCCCCAUGCCAGUGGUGGGGAGGGCUGCAGCCAAAAGUGAAUGGGGCAACCCCACUCCGUUUCUUUCUCACUCACUUGCAUACCACCCACCCAUCCAUUCACGUACGCAUAAGCCUGCAAUUUGUGUUGAAGGGGGAAAUGCCACUCACUGCUCUCCAGAGUAAAUUGUAGGACCAGGCCCCCUAAUCCACACUGAGAUCCUGGCAUAGGGAUCCUGCUCAAAGACUAGAAUUGCAUACAAGAUACUAAAUAAAAAAAAUUCCUUCCAGCAGCACCUUAAAGACCAACUAAGUUUUUUAUUUUGGUAUGAACUUUCGUGUGCAUGCACACUUCUUCAGAUACACUGAAAUAGAAGUCCCCAGAUGCUUAUAUGUAGAGAAAGGGUGGGGAGGGGUAUCACUGAUAGAUACUGAUAGACAUAGUGAAAUGGGCACAUUUGUAGGAUGUGAGGAAUUAAGCCUAGAAGCCAAAUGGGACCCCAUAUAUAGGUUCUCAAAAACACGAGUCUUGAAGUUCCUGCUGACAUUUCAGAAAAUCCAACAAUGUGCAUUCAGGUCUAAUUACGUAUUUUGAAGUCUGAUGUUAAGAUCCAAGGGUUAGGAUAUUAGAACAGAGAAUAGGUCAGAGGAAGAUAGACAAAACGUAAAGAAAAAUGAAAUUUGAUUUGACUGAUCUUCUGAAUGAAGCAAAGCAUGGAUGCAUAAAUAAAUAAAUAAAUA